rnacentral:tmRNA from 1 species
CACCUUUAAUCAACCCUCAUAUGGGCCUAUAUAGGGUGUGUCAGGUCGCACCUGACUAUGGCGAUAAACGGUCUGCGCAAUAAACCUAUCGGACCCGGGGGCAGUACCCGGCGCCUCCACCACAAACCCGCCGGUAUCCCGGCAGCCCAUUGGGCACAAGCUGCGACGGCGGGUUUCUGUGGGGGCGAACUAGGAUCGACGAGGGCGUAAAGGCAGUUCUUUCGCUCGGCAUGGUUCCGCCGUUAUCGGGCCAUAUUGAUAGUUGCCAACGACAACUAUGCGGAAGCACGUCUCGCUGCGUAACGCAGCGCGAUCGCUUCAAUUCAAGCCUUAACGGUUCGCACCGUUGAGCGGGGUUCGAGGGCACCUGGCAACAGAAGCCCUCACU